rnacentral:rRNA from 1 species
AGCAUGUGGUUUAAGUUCGAUGCAACGACGAAGAACCUUACCUGGUCUUGACAUCCACAGAACUUGGCAGAGAUGCCUUGGUGCCUUCGGGAACUGUGAGACAGGUGCUGCAUGGCUGUCGUCAGCUCGUGUUGUGAAAUGUGGUUAAGUCCCGCAACGAGCGCAACCCUUAUCCUUUGUUGCCAGCGGUCCGGCCGGGAACUCAAAGGAGACUGCCAGUGAUAAACUGGAGGAAGGUGGGGAUGACGUCAAGUCAUCAUGGCCCUUACGACCAGGGCUACACACGUGCUACAAUGGCAUAUACAAAGAGAAGCGACCUCGCGAGAGCAAGCGGACCUCAUAAAGUAUGUCGUAGUCCGGAUUGGAGUCUGCAACUCGACUCCAUGAAGUCGGAAUCGCUAGUAAUCGUGGAUCAGAAUGCCACGGUGAAUACGUUCCCGGGCCUU